UACGUAGGGUGCAAGCGUUAAUCGGAAUUACUGGGCGUAAAGCGUGCGCAGGCGGUUUUGUAAGGCAGAGGUGAAAUCCCCGGGCUCAACCUGGGAACUGCCUUUGUGACUGCAAGGCUUGAGUGCGGCAGAGGGGGAUGGAAUUCCGCGUGUAGCAGUGAAAUGCGUAGAUAUGCGGAGGAACACCGAUGGCGAAGGCAAUCCCCUGGGCCUGCACUGACGCUCAUGCACGAAAGCGUGGGGAGCAAACAGG
rnacentral:rRNA from 1 species